CGCUUCCAUAAACACGCCAAACUCUACACUCCACUCGACAAUGGACUAGACCCCAUUGUUUGCCUUGGAAUUCUCGGCCUGCCAACUGGCACAAGUGUCCCCAUUGAUAAUUGAAAUUUUUCCAUUAAUCAAAGCGCCAGUUAUCCAUCACCCGGUGAUUAGAGCAUCUGGUACUCGGUGUCGCAUCUCGACUAAUAAUCGAAAGUGACUGGAGAUACGCAUCAAGGAAAGAUGAAGGGCGAUACAAUCAGUUAUCAAGAAGCUGUUUUGAAGCUACUGUAUAAUCCGAAUUUAUCUUUACGGCUGGCUUAUUUAGAUUAAAAGUCGGAACGGAAGUUUACCAACUAAUUUUAGAUAACCCUUGAAUUGUGCAAUUUUUACAGUGAAAAGUUAUAAAAUAAAUAUGAAUCCCAACCAUAAAAUAAACACCAGAUAAAUUUGUAUUUUUAUAAUUUUUUUAUUUAAUUUUAAAGUUUUUACAUGAUUUUUAAAAAUUGUAUUUUAAAAGCAUUGCAUUAUGUCAUAUAAAGUAAGAUGUAUCAUUACAUUAUACAAUUGUUUGUUUCUCAUUUGUUUUGUGUGUUUAACCAUAAGUUAAAUUUAUGUUUAAGCAUUUUCAUAAUUCAAUAGCAGUAAAUUGUUUUUAGAGACCAUGGCUAUAUAUGUAUCAUAUAUAUAUAUAAAGUGUAUAUAAGUAUUAUGUAUUUUUAUGUGUAUGUGUGUGUAUCAUGUAUGUGCAUUUGGAUAUAAACACAAUUAAAACUAAAAUUUUGAAUCGUUACCCCGUCUAGGGGAUAAACAGGGGACAGAAUGGAAAUUAUAUCGAAUAAAAUAAAAUUAAAA